rnacentral:rRNA from 1 species
UACGAAGGGUGCAAACGUUGCUCGGAAUCAUUGGGCGUAAAGAGCUCGUAGGCGGUUUGUUGCGUCGGCUGUGAAAUCCCGAGGCUCAACCUCGGGUCUGCAGUCGAUACGAGCAAACUAGAGUGUUGCAGGGGAGACUGGAAUUCCUGGUGUAGCGGUGAAAUGCGCAGAUAUCAGGAGGAACACCGGUGGCGAAGGCGGGUCUCUGGGCAACAACUGACGCUGAAGCACGAAAGCGUGGGGAGCAAACAGG